rnacentral:rRNA from 1 species
AUUCUGAAAAGAAUGCUAAUACCGCAUGACAUAUCGGAACCACAUGGUUUUGAUAUCAAAGAUUUUAUCGCUUGAAGAUGGACUCGCGUCCGAUUAGUUAGUUGGUGAGGUAACGGCUCACCAAGACCGCGAUCGGUAGCCGGACUGAGAGGUUGAACGGCCACAUUGGGACUGAGACACGGCCCAGACUCCUACGGGAGGCAGCAUG